CGGGAAGUAGCUCAGCUUGGUAGAGCACUUGGUUUGGGACCAAGGGGUCGCAGGUUCAAAUCCUGUCUUCCCGACUU
rnacentral:tRNA from 1 species